AACGAACGCUGGCGGCAUGCCUAACACAUGCAAGUCGAACGAGACCUUCGGGUCUAGUGGCGCACGGGUGCGUACCGCGUGGGAACCUGCCCUUAGGUUCGGAAUAACUCCCCGAAAGGGGUGCUAAUACCGGAUAAUGUCUUCGGACCAAAGAUCUAUCGCCCUUGGAUGGGCCCGCGUUGGAUUAGCUAGUUGGUAGGGUAAAAGCCUACCAAGGCGACGAUCCAUAGCUGGUCUGAGAGGAUGAUCAGCCACACUGGGACUGAGACACGGCCCAGACUCCUACGGGAGGCAGCAGUGGGGAAUAUUAGACAAUGGGCGAAAGCCUGAUCCAGCAAUGCCGCGUGAGUGAUGAAGGCCUUAGGGUUGUGAAGCUCUUUUACCCGGGAUGAUAAUGACAGUACCGGGAGAAUAAGCACCGGCUAACUCCGUG
rnacentral:rRNA from 1 species